UCUAUUUCCAUGAUAGGAUCUCUUAGCUCUUUUGAAAAGACUCCUCAGAGUAUAUUAAUCUUUCCCUGCUUAGAAUGUCCUUGUUAACGGCAGUUUUAAAAUAAUGCAGUUUUCACUUGGGAUGCUGAUACCAGUUGCUGAAUUUCUUUCUGAAAACAUUGUUGGCGUCAGCAGAAAACCAGGAAACUUGAUUCAACUUUGGGCCUGCCUCCUGCCUGUGCCUGGCAUCUGUGAUGCUGGGCAGCGAAGGACCCAGCGUGUAAACAGAGUAGACCGGGACCUGGCCUCUGUGAAAGGACUUGUGGCCAAGUUGCACGGAUCCAUUAUUCAUGCCCACAUGUGUGAAUGCACAAUGUAAAACGGGUAGCAAGAUGAAGAAGAAAAGGCCUAGAGAAAGAAAAACACAGACUGCAGAGUGCUGAGAGGCAAGUCAAGAAUUAUACAAAAAUUCUCAGCAUUUCAUCGGCACUCUUCUGGGUAUUACUUGGUUUUUGACCUCUUGGAAAACAAUGAGCAGAGUUGAACAUGAGGACUCCAGUAAUCUUCUGAUAGUGAACUGAAAUCUUCAGACCUAUGACUACAACCUGAGACCAGAUGAGCUUGUGGGGUCAGCUUCAUCACACUCCUCCUACCAUAUUCAGAAACCAUAGGUGGUGGAAAGACUAGGCUUUGGAGUCCACCCUGCCUCCGUCAUUUGCUCAGUGAUCUUUACAAGUUAUUUAAUCUCUCUGUACCUCUCUGAAUUCUCAUUCGUAAAAUGAGGAUAAAAUUUGUGGGGGCUAUGAAAAUGUACCUCUCAGAUCACCCACUGUGGGGAAUAUAGGUGAUGUAAGGCCCCAGCUGAUAUAUUCUGAAGUCUAUCCCCAGGUUUGUGCCAAGGUCAUGCUUCCCACAGGCUGCUGCCAACAAAUGACUAAGCAAGGCAGGGAUACUGAGACAGGUCCAUUUCUGCAAUAUGGUGGCUCCUCCAAUUACUAACUUUGGCUCUAGGACUCCCGGCAGGUCUUAAUGAAACUUUCUUAGAAUUUCACUGCAGUCUAAGACCUCCCCCUUUCUUUCCUCCUUCUGUCCUUCACAGGAGUCAGACAUGCACUGCAGUCUGAGGCCUCUCCUGGCAUUUUCUGGCUCCUUCCACAUUUUCCCUCACCAGCAUCUCCCCUAAUAAAUCUCUUGCACAUUUAAUCCCAUCCUGGGGUUUGCCUCUUAGAGAACCUGGACUAACAAAAACUUAACCUAGUAAAGUUCUUGUAAGGAUAAUAGUAGGUACUCAAUCAUGGCUGCUAUUAUUACUAGCAAGCAUGUAGCUGACUACCAGCGCUCUUACUGUUUUACAUAUGCUGCAACUAGCUUGGCUAUAUCUUCCCAAUUCUAGACAUAGAGUUGAUUUUUUGACCUUUAAGAGCAUGACUUGAUAUUCAUCCCUGUUUGUUUCAUAUUUUAAGAUUUGAUCCAUUACUCAAAUCACUGUGGAGCCUGAUUUAAUUAUACGAAUUAUUCAUUAUUCAUUGGUGUGCUGAGUGACUCAUACCAGCUCUUAAGGGCUGACCAAUUUUCAGGGAAUUUCCAAGCUAGUGGUUAAACUGUUGGUUGCUUGAAAUUGGAAUUGGCCAUGACUGGGGUAUUUACACCACAGAAAUUGGCAAAUGGUACAAAUUAGGGCCUUUAAAAUAUUUUUUCAGAGAGCCAAUUAACCAGAACACCACUGAUUAUUCUUCCCAAACAUGUGUCUUGAGCACAGACAAGUUUUAAACAUGUUGGGACAAAGAACACAGCCUGGCAGCUCCAUAAUCUGGUAAGUCAAAAUGAAUGGCUCUCCUCAGCAAGGGCCAUGGUGUCAGCACACUGUCCAGGGCACUCCAUGGGCCUGGGUGCUGGAAACUUGGCAACAGCCUCAACAGAUAGAAGAGCCAAAGGAAGAUGGACUCUGAAGAUUAAAUUUGUUAAUCUGGGGUUCUUGUCAUUUAGUUAAGCAAAAAUUUUAUAAGCAGUACUAUCAAGAAUACAGAUUCCCUCUUGUCUUGCUGGCUAUGAGUGCAACUGGUAAUAGCCAGACCAUAAUUUUGAAGCCCUUGGAUUCCACAGAGGUACCUCUGAGGCCACAGAGGAAGGAGGGAUAAUGUCCAAAAGGAGGCAUCCCAAGUCUCCCAGACCUGAGCCAACCAAAACUGUCCCACUUUUUGCAUUUUAUAUCUGGGUUCCCAUUUAGACAUCUUUGUAAACUAAACUUUAGUGGUUAAAAAAGUGAAAGCUACUAUCUUA